GACGUAGGGCGCGAGCGUUUGUCCGGAUUUAUUGGGCGUAAAGAGCUCGUAGGCGGCUUGUCGCGUCGGCUGUGAAAUCCCGUGGCUUAACUGCGGGUCUGCAGCCGAUACGGGCAGGCUAGAGUUCGGUAGGGGAGACUGGAAUUCCUGGUGUAGCGGUGAAAUGCGCAGAUAUCGGGAGGAACACCAGUGGCGAAGGCGAGUCUCUGGGAUGAUGCUGACGCUGAGGCGCGAAAGCCAGGGGAGCAAACGGG
rnacentral:rRNA from 1 species